rnacentral:RNase_P_RNA from 1 species
CGGGCGGGCCGGGUGAUCGCUGGCUUGGUCAUCGCAAGAUGGCUAGGCGGGAGGAAAGUCCGGACACCGUCCUGAGGCACGCUCUCUACUUUUUGGGGAGCGGAACUCUUGACAGGGCAACGCGCCUGGUAACGCCAGGGGGCGCAACGGGGAGCACAGGCUAAAGCCUGUGCCACUUACGGCGCUACGGAAAGUGCCACAGAGAAUAGACCGCCGGCGGAGUGGAGCGCGGUGGCAUCGCGCAGGGAAACCUGUGAGACGUCUUCGAACUGCUCGCGCCGUUUGGCAAGGGUGAAAAGGUGGGGUAAGAGCCCACCGCUCCGGUGGCGACACCGGGGGCACGGAAAACCCCGCGUGGUGCAAGGCCAAAUAGGAGGGGAGAGCCGGCCCGGCUCGAUGAGUCAGCGUUCAUGAAAGUGAACGCGCUCCUUCGGCGGUGGCGCAAGCCAUCGUAGAUGAGAACCCUCGGGUAGGCUGCUGGAGUCGCGGUGCGAACCGUGACCUAGAGGAAUGAUCGCCGCGUACGCAGGCCGUUUACAGUUUGCGUGCGGCACAGAAUCCGGCUUACAGGCCCGUCCCGCCAU